rnacentral:rRNA from 1 species
GAUGAACGCUGGCGGCGUGCUUAACACAUGCAAGUCGAGCGAGAAGUUUUGAAAAGAUUCUUCGGAUGAAAUUUAAAAUGGAAAGCGGCGGACGGGUGAGUAACGCGUAGGCAACCUGCCCCAUACAAAGGGAUAGCAUUUGGAAACGAAUAUUAAUACCUUAUGAAACUUAACUAGUGCAUGCUAGGUAGGUCAAAGAUUUAUCGGUAUGGGAUGGGCCUGCGUCUGAUUAGCUAGUUGGUGAGGUAACGGCUCACCAAGGCGACGAUCAGUAGCCGACCUGAGAGGGUGAACGGCCACAUUGGAACUGAGACACGGUCCAAACUCCUACGGGAGGCAGCAGUGGGGAAUAUUGCACAAUGGGGGAAACCCUGAUGCAGCAACGUCGCGUGAACGAUGAAGGCCUUUGGGUCGUAAAGUUCUGUUCUAGGUGAUGAAAACUGACAGUAACCUAGGAGAAAGCCCCGGCUAACUCCGUG